GGCUGGGUGAGGACGCAGGCCUGGGUCAGCGCUGCGGCCCGCGAAGGGAGCCCGGCCUGAGGGCAGCGGCGGGCACUUGGGGGCCACCCCGCCCCGGGCAGCGCCCGCCGGCUCUCGGCUCAGUCUGGCUCAUUCCUCCCGGCCGCCGCCUCGUGCUCCGGAGCUGGGGACCCGGGGGCGGGCAGGAGAGGCCUCGCUCACCCAGGACCUGCUCGGGGACCCUGCCCGCGUUGGUGAUCGAUCGUCGAGUCCCUAUCACAGGCCUCCUUGGGGUGAGGAAACAGCUGGGGACCAAGGAGAACUCGAGAUCCCAACCGGCAGAUUCGCCCUCCACCCCAGGGCUGCGUCCCUGCUUGCAGCCUGUGCCUGGACUCCACUUCCAGGCCGACUGCAACUUGGAAUCAGCUGCGUCCAGUUGGAGCUGAACUGGUUGGGGCCGGAUGGGACCACCGAUUCCCGAGCCGGGCCUGCGCGAGGGCCCGCCCAGCGCCCUUUAGACCGUGCAGCGGCCUGUAGCCCAGCUACACCUGCGCCUGCGCAGAAGGAGUCCCGCAGCUUUCUCCAAUCAUCACCUUUCCCCGCGCUCCCCACGCCUCAGGUGGCCCUGCUUCUUUAUUCGUUAUCGCGUAAAUACCCCGAGCCUCUUCCCUUCCGGGACGCCAGAGCUGAGGUUUGCCCUCCUCUCUCCUGGCUUGGCCGCCUCGCCGACAGACCCGGGCGUCUCGGCGUUUGGCUUGCUGUGCAGCAGCCCAGAGGAGCCUGGUUGGGUACCAACUGCACAGGGACACUGCAGCUCGGGACCGCUGACUCUGCGCCACCUCUACCAGUUUGCGGUUUUGGAAGCAUCAGAUAAAUUGCUCCUUCAAAAGUCUGGAGGACACUGGGAAAUGGAAGAGACCGGAGGCCCAGAGGCAACUAGAAGCCUGUUCAGAUUUCCGGGAGGGACAGGAAUCCGCCGACGGUGAUGGGGAUGGAGCAGCGUGAACGUCCGUGCAGCCAAGUGAACGAAGCAGGGUGUAAGAAGGAGGGCCAUAUUCUGAAUACUCUGCGAUCAAGAUUUUGUUCCAACUUAUGAAACUCUUCUGUACUUCUGGGAUUUUACAGAUUCGAAAUUAUUUCAUAUCAGCACUCAUUCCACCUGUUGUACGUGAGGAGAAAAGGUCAGUUCUACAGAAAGCAGCUGGAAAACAAGGGCGUCUCCAGGGCGCAGGGGCUGCUCCAUCCGGCAGCUGACACAGCCAGACCCGUGCGCCGGGCUCCAGUCACCAGCGCAGGCCGCACGCCGAGGUGGUGCGCUUCGGGCGCCCGAGCCCUCGCCAACCCCUGCGACUGCACCAUCCACCCGGGGCUCCAACCGUCCUGGGGCAGAAUGACGCAGGCUCCUUUCAGGCUACAGACGCAAGAAAGAGGGCCCUGAGAUGACACCCACCAAUCACCCAAAGGGGGAUACACGUACUAGCCCCGGCUAGUCCCCAGUCUGAAGUGGGCCUGGGGGAAUCCAGGUGUGUCAAUUCGGAAGUAACUUCAGCACUUUCCUAUGUUAGCUAUGGGAAACAGCAGGACUCUGCAGGUGCCGGACCCCCAGAAGCACCCUGCCCGAGGAGGGCCGCCCAUGUGGUGGGGACGCGUACCUUAAAGAGCGGAGACACGCGUGCCCUCCUCAGGGACUCCUCCAGACUGAAGGAGAAAAGCACCUCGGCCUCGGCGUCUCGGAGAACGUAGCUCUGCUCAUCUGGAAAAGAGAACAGCACACCGUCCACCAGUGCACACCGUCCACCGGUGCACGGCGCCCGGGGUGCACCGUGCCAUCUGCUCCAGGCUGCCCCUGGUCAGGGAUCGCGCCUGGGCCCCCUGCAUUGGGAGCACGGAGUCUUAACCACUGGACCACCAGGGAAGUCCCUGAAGUGCUACAUUUGAAAUGCACCCCCAAAAGGCCUCCGUGUGGCACCUCCCAGGGAAGCAGCCAAUCAGCGCCCCACUUCACCAGCAGCCCCGCCCCCGCCCUCACUGGCCUUGCUGGUCCUGAAGAGCGGAAGGCCCCCCACCCCAGGCUCCAGUCCUGUCUUCCACCUGCCCCGUCCCGACCCAGACGGCACAGAACAAAGCUGUUUGACUCAAGCACACGUUUUAAAUUAAACCUCAGUCUUUUUCAUUUCCUUCAAUUUUCUCAAAUCCUAUUUUUAGCUUAUAUUUGAGACAGUCUAUUCAAUUAAGAAAAACUUAUUUGUGGCAUUUUAAUGACAUAUAUAAUCACAUAAUUAGCCUUUCACUAAAAAAAUCCAGUCAUUCCCAGACUGUAUGGAUGUGGGGAAUGGCAGGAGGGAGCGCUGAGGGGCAGGGAAGAGAGGAGGCCCCUCGCUGAGCACGGCCUGGAGGGCCUCUGGGUUCUAAUGGAGCCGCCGGCCUCUCUUUACCAGGUGAGACCAGCGCAGGUCUGCACACAGCCACCCCCCGCCGACCCGCCGGGUCAGGGGUCGGGACGCAGGCUCCCGGGCCCACACCGAGGACGCCUGGAGCGGGUUCCAGUCCCCCACCCCCGUUCCACCACAGCAGCUCACUGGGGGUUCUGGCGCGGUUCUGGUUAAUGGAGAAGAUUCAACUGUUUUUUUAAUGAGAGGAAAAAACACUGGCUAUUCCCUGUUUAUCUCCAGCAAUGAAAUGAGACGUGCCGCGAUAAAGCUGUGACGCAGUCAGCAAAUCCUUCCAAAUCCUGUUCACUGUGAACACUUCAGGGAACUUUCCCAACUGAACACUUCAGGGAACUUUCCCAACUGCCACCAUUUUCUAAAACAAACCUGUAAAAGCUCAUCAACCAUUAAAAAAAAAGAAAAAAAAAAGGCGCUUCUUCCUACCUGGCUCUUUUGGAGGAGGGCUGGACAGCAGGGGCUUCAUUCUGCUUCAGUUUGGGAGGCAGCCGUACACCCUGUGAUUAAAAUAUGAUUCACUUUAAUCAGUCUCCCCAGUAAUACAGUAGCUUCCGAGAGCUUUCCACCUACCCCACUGUGUACGAGACACACGCACCCACCACCAUGCCUCACCAGCCGAGACAGACACACGCGAGCCUUCCAGGGAAGCCCUGGGCUGGUGGCCUCAUUAUUCACCAGACCCAGCAGUUCUUUAAAACGUCUUCACCCCUCUCUCUGUUCACGUUACGGAUUUAAUCCUUAACCUUGAACUUUUCAGAACACUUUUCACUUCAAAUAUUUUGUCUUGUGUCCCAGUUUGGAAUUUGGAAAACAUACUCAUUGCAACUACAUGCCCAAAAAGAGACUCUUCCUGAACUGAGAUGUCACCCACGAGGGUUCAGGACGAUCAGGUCACAGUGCUCUGGAGGGCGGGGCAAGGUGCUGAAGGCCGCUCUGGUCCCCAGGCGCGGGGCGCCCACGUUCCUGGAACCAGCUGGAGCCCCUGACCUGCGGACACGCUGAGUCGAAGGGCAGGGUGAGGCCGGUGCCCCUGGAGGAACCCCCGAGUCAGCCUUCACCCUUGCCUCACCUCUGUGCAGACCUUCGUCCACAAAUACACUUUCUCUCUGUUUUACUACUUGAAGCAAUGACCUCUCAAUCUGAGAUGAGAGUGCAGAUGCCCCCCCCCCCACUUGUUUCAUAACAACCAACUGCUGGCCUUCAGGUCCAGAACGGUCCCUCCUGAAGGUACCCUAUCAGAGCUCAGCCAGCGGGCUGGAACCCCACCUGGGACAUGCGGGAACAGUCCCAUCACGGUGAGGUCCAGGCUCCUGCAGAGUAAGCUGUGGGUCCAGGGCUACUGCACUAACGCCUCAGCUCUUGCCUCCCUGACCCUAUGGAAACACGUCGUCUUACUUACUCAGCUCUCCGAUUCUUUAAGAAGCGAUAAUGUUCCUGAUGUGUAUAAAUAUGAAUAACUGACAAAUAUGAAUAACUGACAAUAUCAUCAAUUAAGAAAAAAAAGAUGCAGGGUAUACUAAACAGCUACGACAGGCGAGAAGAUACAGCCCUCAUUUGUUAUGGUGACAAACUACUAAAAGAAUUCUUAAUUCACAAAUACAAAUGUAUCCCUCCUGCAUGUGUAUAAUACACAGUAACAGCCAAAGUAAGGUAAUUAGCUUGACAUACCAUCAGCAACUCUGCCGACACUUUCAAUGGAACUCGCCAAGCAUCUGAAGAGAGAAACGGGUUACUUUUCACAUAUACUGUGUAAAUAGAUAAGCCGUGUUACAAAAGCCUUUUCAUGACACAUACACACACUACUAUACAUGAAACAGAUAACAAGGACCUACUGUAGAGCACAGGGAACUCUACUCAAUACUCUGUUAAUGACCUACAUGGGGAAAGAAUCUUAAAAAAAAAAAAGAAUAGAUACACAUGUAUGUAAAACUGAUUCACUUUGCUGUACACCCGAAACUUACACAACACUGUAAAUCAACUAUCCUCCAAUUAAAAAAAAAAAAAGGAAGUGUAUCAUCAACAACAAAAACAAAAAGCCCUUCCAGGAGCGGGUAAUCCUGGACACACGGUGGCUUGGCGGACAACCUUUAAUAAGGGGAAAAUGUGAAGACUGUUACUAAGCGGCUGCAGUGAUGGGCACAGCAGAGGCUGCCCGCCCCACGUGUGCUGUCCCCCCGGCCAGUUCUGGGAGCCACACAGUCCGGCUUCUAAGAAACCGACUGCGACGAGGGGGCUGACACCAAGGACCACAGCGCGCUGGGCGGCGACCGUGCAGAGCACCGAGGGUGCGUGUCCACUGAGGACGAGGUGACGUCACACCAGCAGGUGCGUCACAGGGGAGCAAGCAGACCACAGCUCAAAAUGAAGACGGGCUUUCUCGUGACUGAAGCCAUUCAAACUGGAACUUAACAGGCUCCUUUGAGAGACAGCACGUUAAAGCAGUGUUCGAAUUGAACGCCCGUUUUCUGGAGUAACGUUCAGUUCACUAAAUGCAGUAACGUUAAGUGCUGUAGCGUGUACAGUCGGGGUAGUGAUCCUUCCACCAGUUUUGCGCAGCUGAAGGGGAGGUGGGCUACGGCUCACGGGGAGCCUUGGACAGACCAGAGCCGGCUUGAGACAAGAUCAGCAGGCUUCUGCACGUUCCUGCUACCUCUGAGAGUCCAUUUAGAAAACGCAAACCCAAACACACAGCAACAAAAACUCCUGGGCAGAGUGCAGAGGAAGAUGUGGCGAGGAAACGGGAAAUGAAAUCAGAACGAUGAGAGGGCCGAAGCCGAGACAGGUGGUGCUUAGUACGCAGGCUGGCGGCAACGCGGAACCGGCCCCGCUUACCCAGAAGGUUUGAGACCAAGUGCGGAGCCGGGGCGAAGGGGUCCUGCAGGCUGAAGGUGGUGUAGCGGCCGUACUGAAUCUGACGCAGGGCCUCCAAGUUCCCCAGGAGGAUGUCUCCCAGCCACUGGGCGUUCACGCACGGGAUCCUCCACUCCUUGGCUUUCUCGUACUUUAAACCAGUUGGUCUUUUUUUUGAAGAGAAAACACAUUUAUUAAAUGUUAGAGUUCUGUGUUCAAGUUUAUAUUUACAUUCAACAAAGCCAGUCCACAUUUUCUCACACUAGAAGUGGCAGGGAUGUUUCUGUAGAGCCAACCCUGGCUGGUAAGGAAGCGCACACAUGGGUCACGAGAUCAUCGCUAGGCCUACCUUUACCUUACUGCUGUUACCUGGGCUAAACUGCAUCUCAUUAAUUCAUCUAAUUUAAUUCUUCUGCUAGCAUUAUCAUAAAUAUCGUUGCUAUCCUGUUAACAGACUUUGAUUUUCACACCCUAAUUUCCGUCACGAAACUAUGACAUAUUAAGAAAUACAGCAGUGCUGACACAGCCACUACAGUGUGUAUAAACUGAAGAUUAAGGAUGGCUUCAGAACCGUGCUUACUCUUUACAGAUGAGAACUGUGUUGCUGCGGCAGAGAUAGCCCGUGUACUUGGCACCUGCCAAGUAAGCCAUUAACUUCAGGUCAUCCCUGUCGCUGUCAACAAAUCCAGUCACAGAAAUAAUCUAAGGAAAAAGAGCAAGAAGGCCAAAAUAUAACGACAAUUUAACCCAGUUAAUAGAACUGUCUUCUACAUUUUACUUGUUUUAUAGACACGUGUGUUUCCGUUCCCUCUCUGGCAUCACGAGAGGCAUCUAGUGACAUCAUCUCUAAGAAUGUCAAAACCAGAACUUUGUUAAUGGUGAAAGUGUUACACACACAGCCAGCAAGGGGAUGGAAAAGAAACCUACCAAGCAUGGGAAAACCAUUUUUGUGUUACUACGACAGCGUUCAGAUAAUCUUAAUGAAGCUAUUGUAUUAAGCAUGUAAAGAUUAGUCAGUUCUUCUUACUGAUCCCAGUUUUGAGCUCAGCUGAGUGGGAGAACCCACAAGUGAUAACGUCUGGCCAACAGCAGCCACUUCUGGUUUGAGUCGCUUGCUUUGUUUCAGGAAUUUAUGAAACGGUGUCAGAGACUUAGGAGAGUCAAUGAAACAGUGACUCCGUGCAGAAGCCGCGACUGUUACAGGAGAACAGAAGGACGUAAGAUGCCUAUCGCGCUCGGCACCGGCCAGCGGGCCGUUCGCAGCCCACGGAGGACACGGGAGCAGACGACCCCCCCAGCAGAGGAGGAGGGGUGAGCCUUACGUGCUGGGAGCACGGCCUCCCCCCGGGCGGGAAGGCCACGGGGAAGUGCAGGGCCCGAUGGGGCGGCACGAGCCGCUUCUUCUUCAGCACCGCGUUCAGCCAGUGCGCCGUGACACACCUCUUCCUCUCCUUCACCGCCUGCAAAGGCAAGAGCACGGCUGGUCUCGGGGGCUUUCACUGCAGGCUAAACACAGACUAUAAGGCUGGACAGCUAACAAGGCCACCUUUAACGGGAGUCCUAUAAAUAAAGGAAUCUCACGAGCUCAGCACUCAGUUUACUGAAGCCAUGAACUGCAACGGUGCCGCAGGUUAACUUUAACACACCCCGAAAACACUACCGGCCACCCAAGAACAAGAGCCAACCGGGGGGGAAGAGCUACACGUCUGACAACCUGGAAAUAACUUCUGUCACGGAAGGAGACGACAUUUCUGAUCAUCAAAAUUAAAACCGCCCCAUGAGAACACAAAGGGCCCCGCACACAAGUCACGAAAGAACGCAACUGCUCACCUAAAAGUAAGCACCGAGCACCUCCCCACAGGCACCACUACCUACUCUAACAGGGGUUCCUUAGAGGCCGUGUGUCACACACACUGACACGCGUCUGUCUACAAAUAACAUUUUUAAGAAAAGAGAAGAAAUGAACUUUCAGGGGAGAGCAGGUAAUACUGAGGAGGAAGCGUCUGCUCUGCAGGACAGAAGCUUGGAGGACUGACCAGGUCAGGCCUGCAUACGAAUCCCCCAACAGUUAAGAAAUCCUGCUUCCGGCCGCUCUUCAUUCAGUGUGGCCCUGGACUGGAGCGGAAGGCCGUCUACCCUCCCCUAGCACCACCUGGGAUGUCCCCUUCUCCAUUCCUCACAGACAGAAAGGCCACAGAGGUAUCUAUCUAACCCACCAAAGAUCGAGGAGAAUUAGUAAGAAGCAAUUUUCUAUUUUUAGAGGUAGAAAAAAGUCCUUUCCAAACACGAUCAUCACUAGAGUCACUUAGAACGCUAACACUGUCCAGAGAAAGGGACAGACUCGGUUCCAUCGCAGCUGAGCCCCCACUCACCUGUGCGAACAGCCCGCUCACUUGACUCUCACAGAGCAGGUGUGUGCAGCGGCUCGAGAACGUGGGGUCCACAGCACCUCCGUGCGCCUGGAUUAUCUAGACACGCACAAGACCCAGAGUCACAGUCAACCUCCAGCGCUCAGGGGAAGAGGGAAUUGUAAUUUCAAAUAAGACGGCUACUAAAAGAAUCCAUUAUACAUUUUCAUCGUCUAGUUCCCCAAAAGUAGAAAAGAUGUUAUCAGCUAUAUCUACGGACUUUUCCACCCUGCACUGUACAAUAAAAAUGAACGUUAACACCAUUCCAUCUGAACUUCCAAAGGAAAAGUGGAAUGUUCUUUCUAAAACAGGGUUUCUCAACUGGGCACUACGGACGUUUUACACCAGCUGACUGAGCUGCGGGGGUGGAUCCUGAGCAUCUCAGGGGGCCGGCAGCACCCCUGGCCUCUCCCCCUGAGACGCCAAUAUCACUCCCCCAGCUGCGACAGUGAAAAAUGUCUCAGACAUUGCCAAUCGUCCCCCGGGGCUAGAAUCACUGCUUUUAAGAAACGUUAUUCUAAAAGGGGGAAAAAAACAAAACCAAAAAAAGGUCAAAAUGAAGUCUGUGAACACCAGAAAAUUAUUUUUAAAAACAGAUUCAGUUUUUUGGGGUGAGGGGACUGUCCCGUACCUCGACGGCAGUGGUUACAUAGUUGUGUGGCACUAAGGGGAACUGGUCAAAACUUAAAACGCUGUAUACCGAAAGAGCGAGAACUUUAUAUGUUAAAAAGACCUGCCCCACGAAACAAUUCCAUUUCAUUUACAACUUCUUAAAAUUUUUUAUUAAAAAAAUGUUUUUUAAACUGGAGUCUAGUUGAUUUACAAUGUGGUGUUAGUUUCAGGUACACAGCACAGUGAUUCAGUUACACGUACACAUAUACAAGUCCUUUUCUUAAAAUAUUCUUUUCCGUUACGGUUCAUCACAGGAUGUUGAACGCAGCUCCCUGUGCGCUACAGCAGGACCCUGCUGCCUGUCCAUUCUCUGCACUCUCGCUUACACCUGCUGACCCCACACUCCCUCCCACUCCAUCCGCCCCGCAACCCGCUGCUUCUGGGCGACCACAAGUCUGUUCUCUGUGUUCAUGAGUCUGCUUCUGUUUUGUAGAUAGAUUCGUUUGUGUAGCAUUUUAGAUUCCACAUCUAAGUGAUAUCAUAUGGUAUCUGUCUUUCUCUGUCUGGCUUACUUCACUCGGUAUGAUCAUCUCUAGGUCCAUCCAUGUUGCUGCAAAUGGCAUUAUUUCAUUCCUUCUUAUGGAUGAGUGAUGUUCCGUUGCAGAUAUGUGCCACGCCUUCCUUAUCCAUUCAUCUGUCGACGGACAUUUAGGUUGCUUCCACGUCUUGGCUAUUGUGAAUAGUGCUAUGAACACAGGGGUGCGUCUUUUUGAAUUAUAGCUUUGUCUAGGUUUAUGCCCAGCAGUGGGACUGCUGGAUCACACAGUAGUUCUAGUUUUAGCUUUUUGAGGAACCUCCAUGCUGUUCUCCAUAGCGGCUGCACCAACUUACAUUCCCACCAGCAGUGUAGGAGGGUUCCCUUUACUCCACACCCUCUCCAGCAUUUGUUAUUUGUUAUUUUUAAUGAUGGCCAUUCUGACCUGUGUGAGGUGGUACCCCAUGGUAGUUCUGAUUUGCAUUUCUCUAAUAAUUCGUGAUACUGAGCAUCCUUUCGUGGGCCUACUGGCCAUCUCUACGUCUACUUUAGAGAAAUGUCUGUUUCGGGUCCUCUUCGAUUGGGUUGUUUUUUUGUGGCUGAGUUGUGUGAGGCUGUUUGUGUAUUUUGGAAAUUAAGCCCUCGGCACUUGCAUCAUUUGCAAAGGUUUUCUCCCAGUCAGUAGGUUGCCUUUUCAUUUUGUUUAUGGUCUCCUUUGCUGUGCAAAAGCUUGUAAGUUUGAUCAGGUCCCAUUUGUUUGUUUUUGCUUUUAUUUCUACCGCCUUGGGAGACCGACCUAAGAAAACAUUGGUAUGACUUAAGUCAGAGAAUGCUUUCCCUGUGUUCUCUUCUAGGAGUUUUACGGUGUCAUGUCUUACACGUUUAAGUCUUUAAGCCAUUUUGAGUUUAUUUUUGUGUAGGUGUGAGGGUGUGUUCUAACUUCACUGAUUUACAUGCAGCUGUCCAGCUUUCCCAACACCACUUGCUGAAGAGCCUGUCUCUUCUCCAUUGUAUAUUCUUGCCUCCUUUGUUGAAGAUUAACUGACUGUAGGUGUGUGGGUUUAUUUCUGGGCACUCUAUUGUGCCCAUUGAUCCACUGAUCCAUAUGUCUGUUUUUGUGCCAGUACCACGCACUGUUUUGAUUACUGUAGCUUUGUAGUAUUGUCCGAAGUCUGGGAGGGUCAUGGCUCCUGCUUUGUUCUUUUUCUUCAGGAUUGCUUUGGCAAUUCUGGGUCUUUUAUGGUUCCAUAUAAAUUUUAGGAUUACUUGUUCUACUUGUUGAAAAUGUCAUGGGUAAUUUGAUAGGGGUGGCAUUAAACCUGUAGAUUGCUUUGGGUAGUAUGGCCAUUUUAACAAUAUUAGUUCUUCCCAUCCAAGAGCAUGGGCUAGCUUUCCAUUUCUUUCAGUCAUCUUCAAUUUCCUUUAUUAAUGUUUUAUAGUUCUCAGCCUGGACGUCUUUCACCUCCUUGGCCAGCUUUAUUCCUAAGUAUUUUAUUUUGGGGAGUAUGAUUUUAAAAGGAAUUGUUUUUUUCACACUCCCAUUUUGAUACUUCAUUAUUAGUAUAAAGAAAUGCAACCGAUUUCUGUAUGUUGUAUCCUCCUCCUACCUUGCUGAAUUCAUUUUUGUGUGUAGUCUUAAGGGUUUCCUGUAUGUAUCCAUGUUAUAUGAAUACAAUGACAAUUUUAUCUCUUCCCGAUCAAUUCGGAUACCUUUUUAUUUCUUGUCUGAUUGCUGUGGUUAGGACUUCCAAAACUAUGUUGAAUAGAAGAGGUGAAGUGGGCAUCUUUGUCUUGUUCCAGAUUUUAGCAGGAGGGCUUUCAGCUUUUCACUGUUGAGUAUUGUACUGGCUGUGCGUUUGUCAUAAAUAGCUUUUAUUAUAUUUUGGUUCCUCUAUACCCACUUUGGUAAGAGUUAUCAUGAAUGGGUAUUGAAUUUCAUCAAAUGCUUUUUCUGCAUCUAUUGAGAUGAUCAUGUGGUUUUUGUCUUUUCUUUUGUUGAUGUACUGUAUCACACUGAUUGAUCUGUGUCUGCUGAACCAUCCUCAUGAACGUGGGCUGAUUCCCACUUGGUCGUGGUGUUAUCAUCUAUGUUUUGUUGGAUUAGGUUUGCUAAUACUUUGUUGAGCAUUCCUGCAUCCAUCUAUGUUCAUCAAAGAUACUGGCCUGUAAUUUUCUUUGUUGGUAGCGUCUUUGUCUGGCUUUGGUAUCAGGGUGAUGGUGGCUUCACAGAAGGUCUUUGGGAGUGUUCCCUCCUCUUCAGUCUUUUGGAAGAGUCUGAGAAGGAUUGGUGUUAAGUUCUUCUUUGUAUGUUCGGAAGCUCCCUUUCUGUCCCCGCUGAUCUCCCUGACAGGGAGGGGCCUCCCAGGGUGCAGGAACCUUUCCUCUUUCACAGCUCCGUCCCAAGGGCACAGGUCCCAUCCUGAUUCCUUUCUCUCUCUUUUUUUCUUUUUUCUUCUGUCCUACCCGGUUACGUUCAGCAGAUGUCGUGUGAGAGCCGCUUCCACAUGUGCACGUAUUUCUGACGCACCUGUGGAAGUGGGCGGAGCUCCACGUCGCUCUCCUCUGCCAUCCUGACCCACUCCUCUCCAUUUACUACUUUUAAAAUUUGAUUUUUACGUUGAUUAAAGUGACGCAUAAACAUAGUUUAAUAAGGCCCAGGACAAAACCAGCAGUUUGCUAGUACCCCACUCACUUUCCACUCCCCUAAGGCUGCCACAUCCAGCUCUUUAACUCCUUCUGGUAAUUAUUAAUAUAUUCUAACUAAUACAUUCUACGCAAUUUCUUUUUUAGCUUUAGAUGUUAUCUACAACCUCCUACUGUGGAGGCCACCUUCCCCCCAGAAACUAAAACACACACACACACACACACACACACACGCACGCACGCACGCGCGCCUUCCUAAGCUGGUUCUAUCACAGUCCCUAUUUCAAUCAGCCUUUGGGAUUUAGUACAGUGCAGCUCACCACCUACCUGGCCUAUCAGGGCACAGCGGGACGAAGUUCCUUUCUGCUACCAACUUUUGCUUUCCCUGGUGUUAACAAACGCCUCGUUCCCCUCCUUCUCGUCUGUCUUUUUCUUAGCUUUCCAUGUACCUUUCACUAUUUCUU